UUCCGGUUGAUCCUGCCGGACCUUACUGCUAUCGGGGUGGGACUAAGACAUGCGAGUCGAGCGUUUCUAGCUAUGUUGAGACGCGGCAUACGGCUCAGUAACACGUGGCUAACCUACCCUCAGGACGGGGACAAACCCGGGAAACUGGGGCUAAUAUCCGAUAGGCGAGGAAUCCUGGAAUGGUUCUUCACCCAAAGGACAUUGGAAACAUGCUUUCUCUGUCGCCUGGGGAUGGGGCCGCGACCGAUCAGGUUGUUGGUGAGGUAAUGGCUCACCAAGCCUUUGACCGGUACGGGCCAUGAGAGUGGUAGCCCGGAGAUGGACACUGAGACAAGGGUCCAGGCCCUAAGGGGCGCAGCAACCGCGAAACCUCCACAAUGCACUAACGUGCGAUGGGGCUAUCUCGAGUGCCACCUGAUGAAGGUGGCUUUUCCUUGGUCUUCAAAGCCUUGGGAAUAAGAGGGGGGCAAGACUGGUGUCAGCCGCCGCGGUAACACCAGCCCCUCGAGUGGUGGGGAUGAUUAUUUGGCCUAAAGCGUCCGUAGCCGGCCGUGAAAGUCUUCCGUUAAAUCCAGCGUCUCAAGCGUUGGACCGCGGGAGAUACUACACGGCUAGAGAGUGGGAGAGGUCAGCGGUAUUCUGGGGGUAGGGGCGAAAUCCUUUGAUCCCCGGAGGACCACCAGUGGCGAAGGCUGCUGACUAGAACACGUCUGACGGUCAGGGGACGAAAGCUGGGGUAGCGAACCGGAUUAGAUACCCGGGUAGUCCCAGCCGUAAACGAUGCAUGCUAGGUGUUGGGUUGGCC
rnacentral:rRNA from 1 species